rnacentral:rRNA from 1 species
GACGAACGCUGGCGGCGUGCUUAGCACAUGCAAGUCGAACGGAAAGGCCCUGCUCUUGUGGGGUGCUCGAUUGGCGAACGCGUGAGUAACACGUGAGUAACCUGCCCUUGACUUUGGGAUAACUUCAGGAAACUGGGGCUAAUACCGGAUAGGAUCUCCUGCUGCACGGUGGGGGUUGGAAAGUUUCGGCGGUAGGGGAUGGACUCGCGGGUUAUCAGCUUGUUGGUGGGGUAGUGGCUUACCAAGGCUUUGACGGGUAGCCGGCCUGGGAGGGUAACCGGCCACAAUGCGACUGAGAUAGGGAGCAGUCGCGUACCGGCGGCAACAGGCGGAAGUAUUGCGGAGUAAGCGGGAGCCAGAGACGGCGACGCCGCGUGCGUGAUGACGGCCUUCUAGGUAUAAACCGCUUUGGACUGUGACGAGGAGUGCGUGACGGUAACGAGUAAGGAAGCACCGGCUAACUACGUG